rnacentral:rRNA from 1 species
GCAGAGGUGCCAAGCGUUAGGCGGAAUCACUGGGCUUAAAGCGUGUGUAGGCGGAUGCCUAAGUACCUUGUGAAAUCCCCCCGGCUCAACCGGGGAACGGCUGGGUAUACUGGGUGUCUUGGGUCAUCUAGGGGCUGCCGGAACAAAUGGUGGAGCGGUGAAAUGCGUAGAUAUCGGGAGGAACACCUGUGGCGAAAGCGGCUCACUGGACCACAACUGACGCUGAGGCGCGAAAGCUAGGGGAGCAAACAGG